rnacentral:rRNA from 1 species
UUCCAGGCCCUUACGGGGCGCAGCAGGCGCGAAAACUUUACAAUGCGGGCAACCGUGAUAAGGGAACCUCGAGUGCCYGUACAUGCGGGCUGUCCRGGUGUCUAAAGCACACCUGAAGAAAGGGCCGGGCAAGACCGGUGCCAGCCGCCGCGGUAAUACCGGCGGCUCGAGUGGUGGCCACUUUUAUUGGGCUUAAAGCGUUCGUAGCUGGGUYGGUAAGUCUCUUGGGAAAUCUGGCAGCUUAACUGUCAGGCGUCUAAGAGAUACUGCYRAUCUUGGAACCGGGAGAGGUGAGGGGUACUUCGGGGGUAGGAGUGAAAUCCUGUAAUCCUCGAGGGACCACCUGUGGCGAAGGCGCCUCACCAGAACGGCUUCGACAGUGAGGGACGAAAGCUGGGGGAGCAAACCGGAUUAGAUACCCGGGUAGUCCCAGCCGUAAACGAUGUGCGUUAGGUGUAUCAGUGACCACGAGUCACUGAGGUGCCGAAGGGAAACCGUGAAACGUACCGCCUGGGAAGUACGGUCGCAAGGCUGAAACUUAAAGGAAUUGGCGGGGGAG